rnacentral:ncRNA from 2 species
GUUGCAUAAUCAGCGCCAGGGCAACUAUAAGUUGUUGACGAGGACGAUAGUUAUCGAAAGUUUCGGCGGGUACUAUCGCGGAUACGGUGAUUCGUUAGAAGUAAAACAAAGACCAAGAUCAUAAGGUUAAAAAUUACUUUGCCACCACAA